rnacentral:lncRNA from 1 species
GUGACAGGAGCUAGUUUGUAUAGUUUCCCUCUACACACUGUUAGGAACCUCUGCCAUCUGUGGCCAUUGUUACAAAGUAUAGUACAGAGCCACACACCAUGCUUUCUCUACUUCCAAUUUCUCAGCAGAACUCGACCUAGACUUCAGGCAGUCAUCACCUGGCAGACUUCCCCUUCCUCUCAUGGGAAGAGAGCAAAUGAAGCCCUGAGCAAAUGCUGUAUGAAUGAGAAGGUAACAUGCUUAUCACAAGAGGAGGAAGAUGUAGUUAACUUGCCUCUCAAUCAGGAUCAAACAGCAACCCUUUAUUAGAAUUUUGGCAGAGCCCCACUGCAGUCUUUUCAAUGCAGGCUUCAAAUAAUUUUACACUUUGGGAAACUGCCCCAGCCCAGUGGAUUAUGUGA